GAUGAACGCUAGCGGCAGGCUUAACACAUGCAAGUCGAGGGGUAUAGGUUUUCGGACCUAGAGACCGGCGCACGGGUGCGUAACGCGUAUGCAAUCUACCUUUCACAGAGGGAUAGCCCAGAGAAAUUUGGAUUAAUACCUCAUAGUAUAGCGGUUUCGCAUGAAACCACUAUUAAAGUUCCAACGGUGAAAGAUGAGCAUGCGUCCCAUUAGCUAGAUGGUAAGGUAACGGCUUACCAUGGCUACGAUGGGUAGGGGUCCUGAGAGGGAGAUCCCCCACACUGGUACUGAGACGCGGACCAGACUCCUACGGGAGGCAGCAGUGAGGAAUAUUGGUCAAUGGACGCAAGUCUGAACCAGCCAUGCCGCGUGCGGGAUGACGGUCCUAUGGAUUGUAAACUGCUUUUGUACGAGAAGAAACAACAUUACGUGUAAUGUCUUGACGGUAUCGUAAGAAUAAGGAUCGGCUAACUCCGUGCCAGCCGCCGCCGUAAAAC
rnacentral:rRNA from 1 species